rfam:Pontibacillus marinus BH030004 = DSM 16465 strain BH030004 contig17, whole genome shotgun sequence.
GUAAAUAAAUACGUUAUACCGUAGACAGUGGGUGCGAACCAAUCGCUUAAUUUCCUACCGAGGUGUGUUGAUAUAAGAGAACGCCGUUCGUAAAACACGUUCUCUCAACCAAAGUGCCUCUAUGUCUACUCAUAGAGGCACUUUUUUUCUCUGAAC